CAGCGAUAACCGAUUCAAUCACAUCAAUAUUUCCUCACAUGCACAUGUGUCUGCGCUGAUGUCCCCUGCUGAUGACGCCACGACACGCUGUCAGAAUGACAGGACCCCUGAUUGCUGCCCGACAUACGCCUGAAUCGGAGAACUUUCCAGUGUUUCCUGCAGAGAUGCCAGUGGGAUUGUGCCCUCUUUGCCUCCGCAUGUAUGCCAGGCCUAGCCAGCACCUGGUGGUGUGGCACCACGUCAAAAAUAAGGAGGAAAGAAAGCUUUUGCUUUCGCUGGAGUCUGGACGUGUGAACGUGCGUGAGGGCCCUGUCCCCUGCCGGGCUGCGGGAAACUAACGAGUCGUUUGGACCGACACAUUCAAACCCACAGCGACCUUUCCAUGAUGGCCAGGAUGGAUGUGGUGUUGAGCUGCAAGCGUAAAAAGGUCUUAUCGCAGCUGAGUGCACUGAGGGCAUCUAACCCUGACGUACCCAUGGUCUCCAGUCUCGAUUUGGAGGAAGACCUCAAGUUGGAAGACACUUCGAUGUCUUUGGAGGAAGAGGAAAGUGAAGAGGAGCAGUGUGUCAAUGCUGCGUGUACGAGCCAGACAGAUCAGCUGAAAUCACAGAUUUCUGACCUGAAUCUCCAGCUGGACACGCUGACAGAAGCCCUGCAAAAUGUCACCCGCCGGUACCUCCGGCUGAAGAGGCGGUCAGCUGGCAACAGUUCGACGAGAAUUAAGCAGGAAACCCAAAGACUCCUCUUGUCUCCCGGGCCGGAGGAAGAGAGGGACGAAACUUCUGCCCCUGCAAGAGCCCCGAGCGAACCGUACGAGGAGCUCUCCGUCAGCCGGGGGAGGAAAUCACGCGUCACGCUGAGCCUCUGAGUGGAUCUCAUCUCUCCACAAAGCACAGAUGAAAGAGCCGACUCUACCUCUACAUUCAAAAUGUGGCCCAGUUUAUGGACUAUAUUGCCAAAACACUGCCUUUCCAAACCUCUUCUAGUUGGGCUUCUGUGUUUUCUGAUAUUUUUUUUGUAUUAUUUCGGCAAAUCCCAUUACUUCAGUGUUAUUUUUUUUCACCAUUUGUUCAAUAUUAAGAAUGUUUUGUUUUAAUUAAUUUUUAAUUGUUUGUGUGAUUUGGUGUUUUAAUAAAAUGUUUGCAUGGUUUGAAAUU